UAUGAAUAAGCACCGGCUAACUCCGUGCCAGCAGCCGCGGUAAUACGGAGGGUGCAAGCGUUGUCCGGAUUUAUUGGGUUUAAAGGGUGCGUAGGCGGGCCUUUAAGUCAGUGGUGAAAGCCCAUCGCUUAACGAUGGAAUUGCCAUUGAUACUGGAGGCCUUGAGUUCAGUUGAGGUAGGCGGAAUUUAUGGUGUAGCGGUGAAAUGCAUAGAUACCAUAAAGAACACCGAUUGCGAAGGCAGCUUACUGGGCUUAAAUUGACGCUGAGGCACGAAAGCGUGGGGAUCGAACAGGAUUAGAUACCCUGGU
rnacentral:rRNA from 14 species